rnacentral:misc_RNA from 1 species
CUGAGUAACGUGGUCAUUCAUGACCCGCUACCCGCCCUUUGUCAUAUGUUGGACGAGGUCGUCGUCUUUUAGGGGGCGGCCUCCGACCCCACACUUCCCGGGAAGCGUUGCGCCCUCGUCAAAAGUCCUUAGGGGCCUCGAUGGGGAUGGGACCGCCCGGGGCCUUUUUCAAAACCCUUUGUGAGAAAUCUGAAGUCUGAAGCGAAAGCUUAAAAAUAAAUUGAAGCA